UCGGCGGCCACCCCCGCUCCGAGGGGCCGCCGAGCGCCUCGGCGGCCGCCCCAGCCUCAUGUCUGGGUAUGGACCUUCCAUACAGCCCGACUCUGCCUUUCCGCCCGUGCUGGAGAGCGGCCGGGCUCCCUCUCCCUUCCCCGGCGGGGCUCGUCUCCUCCUGGCCCUGCGGCUGUGCUCCGCAUUCGGCCCCAAACCGUUGUCCGCUGCAGUCGCCUACGGGAGGGAGAGAAGGAGGGAGCAAGUGAAUAGUUGCGUGUUGCUUGGUUGCCAGCUGGUGUAAAACCACAACAGCCCUUUUGACCUUUUUUAACCAGUGUUUUCUUACAUGGACCUUCAGAAAAUCUAGUGGCUAAAUCUAUGAUGAAGACCAGAAAGGCAUACAAUCAGAUGAUGAUUUAGGAGUAGCCGCCCCAGGCAGUAUGAGCCUCAUUACAUCAUCGUGGAAUCAGACUGGAAGUUGACAUUGAUCUAUGUAUUUGAAUUACAUCAGUCUCGCAGAUGAAGUAUUCGCAAUGAAUGUGAACGAUGUGAUAUCCAUGUCACCGAACCUGAACAGAUUUCCACUAGGUACAAGGAUCCUGCCCGUCCAUUUACUGGCUAUCUUGUUGAAAUUGAACUUGACAUCCCAUCAUAAAUAUUUGAUUUAGAAAUCACCCUUCUAACAUCUUCCAGACCAAAUCAAGCCACCUGAAGCAGUGACAUCAAAGUUUUCAGUCCAGAAUGAAUUCUUUCAAGACACUGUGCACAGUAAUAAAUUCUGCAGAAUAAAAAGUUCAGUUCUUGAAAA